rnacentral:rRNA from 1 species
UACGUAGGGUGCGAGCGUUAAUCGGAAUUACUGGGCGUAAAGCGUGCGCAGGCGGUUUUGUAAGCCAGAUGUGAAAGCCCCGGGCUUAACCUGGGAAUGGCAUUUGGGACUGCAAGGCUUGAGUGCGGCAGAGGAGACUGGAAUUCCUGGUGUAGCAGUGAAAUGCGUAGAUACCAGGAGGAAUACCGAUGGCGAAGGCAGGUCUCUGGGCUGACACUGACGCUCAUGCACGAAAGCGUGGGGAGCAAACAGG